rnacentral:tRNA from 2 species
GUUUAGGUGGCAGAGCCCGGUAAGUGCAGGAAGCCUAAGCCUUCCCUUUCAGAGGUUCAAGUCCUCUCCCAAACU